GCUUACGGCCACACCGCCUGGUUCACGCCAAAUCUCGUUUGAUCUCGGAAGCUAAGAUAGGUUGGGCCUGGUUAGUACUUGGAUGGGAGACCGCCUGGGAAUACCAGGUGCUGUAAAGC
rnacentral:rRNA from 1 species